CUUCAGUGAUGAUAAGAUGACGAGUCAGAAGGGAUGGCUCUGCUGAGUGGUGCCCCUGCAGUAUCAUGUUCUGUGCUGCUGCCUGUGGUUCUUCAGCUUUUUUUUUUGAUUUAGAGGCAUUUGUCUGAGAAGG
rnacentral:snoRNA from 1 species